CAGCAGUCGCCGCGGGAAUACGGAGGGUGCAAGCGUUAAUCGGGAUUACUGGGCGUAAAGCGCACGCAGGCGGUUUGUUAAGUCAGAUGUGAAAUCCCCGAGCUUAACUUGGGAACUGCAUUUGAAACUGGCAAGCUAGAGUCUUGUAGAGGGGGGUAGAAUUCCAGGUGUAGCAGUGAAAUGCGUAGAGAUGUGGAGGAACACCGAUGGCGAAGGCAGCCCCCUGGGCCAAUACUGACGCUCAUGCACGAAAGCGUGGGGAGCAAACAGGAUUAGAUACCCGGGUAGUCCCUGUCUCUUAUAC
rnacentral:rRNA from 1 species